rnacentral:rRNA from 1 species
UUAUUAAUACCCCCAAAAGCAUUUAAUAUUUAAUUAAACAAACCAUUUUUCCCCCCAAGUAUGGGCGACAGAAAAGAAACAUUUAGAGCCAUAGAAAAAGUACCGCAAGGGAAUGCUGAAAAAGAAGUGAAACAACCCAGUAAAGUUUAAAAAAGCAGAGACUUACACUCGUACCUUUUGCAUCAUGAUUUAGUUAGUAAAAACAAGCAAAAGGUACUUUAGUUUGUCUCCCCGAAACUAAGUGAGCUACUCCAAGACAGCCUAAAAUAGGGCUAACCCGUCUCUGUGGCAAAAGAGUGGGGUGAGCUUAGAGUAGAGGUGAUAGACCUACCGAACUUAGUUAUAGCUGGUUGCCUGAGAAAUGAAUAGAAGUUCAGCUUUUUGGUUUCUUCCCCCCAACUCGCCUACCUACGACCGAGCCAAAGAAACCAAAAAAGUUAAUUAAAGGGGGUACAGCUCCUUUAAACAAGAUACAACUUCACCAGCCGGGUAAAGAUCGCACAUAAUCAAGGUAAAAUGUUUUAGUGGGCCUAAAAGCAGCCACCUAUAAAAAGCGUUAAAGCUUCUUCAUACCACCACCCUCAAAUUCAGAUAAUACACCCUAAACCCACUAAUUUUACCAAGCCGCCCCAUGCUGUCAUGGGGGUGAUUAUGCUAAAAUGAGUAAUAAGAAAAGUCACCUUUUCUCCCUGCAUUCGUGUAAAUCGAAACGGACCCCCCAUCGAACAUUAAUCGGCCCCAAAAAAAGAGGGCAAUGAACUAUCAACCCCGAUACAAGAAAAGCACCCAAAUAUCAACCGUUAACCUCACACUAACAUGCUUACAAGGAAAGACUAAAAGAAAAAGAAGGAACUCGGCAAAUACAAGCCUCGCCUGUUUACCAAAAACAUCGCCUCUUGAAAACUAAACAUAAGAGGUCC